rnacentral:rRNA from 1 species
UACGUAGGGUGCGAGCGUUAAUCGGAAUUACUGGGCGUAAAGCGUGCGCAGGCGGUUCGCUGUGUCCGAUGUGAAAGCCCCCGGGCUUAACCUGGGAAUGGCAUUGGAAACUGUCUGGCUAGAGUCCGGGAGGGGCGAGUGGAAUUCCUGGUGUAGCGGUGAAAUGCGCAGAUAUCAGGAGGAACACCAAUGGCGAAGGCAGCUCGCUGGAACGGUACUGACGCUGAGGCGCGAAAGCGUGGGGGAGCGAACAGG